AACGAACGCUGGCGGCGCGCUUAACACAUGCAAGUCGAACGAGAAGGCGUAGCAAUACGCUUGUACAGUGGCGAACGGGUGAGUAAUACGUGGGCGACCUACCCUCGAGUGGGGAAUAACCCGCCGAAAGGCGGGCUAAUGCCGCGUACGCUUCCAUCUUUAUGGAGGUGGAAGGAAAGCCGUGCCGUGGGCACGGCGCUCAAGGAUGGGCUCACGUCCUAUCAGCUUGUUGGUAGGGAACGGCCUACCAAGGCUCCGACGGGUAGCUGGUCUGAGAGGACGAUCAGCCACACUGGCACUGCGACACGGGCCAGACUCCUACGGGAGGCAGCAGUGAGGAAUAUUGCGCAAUGGGCGAAAGCCUGACGCAGCGACGCCGCGUGGGGGAUGAAGGUCUUCGGAUUGUAAACCCCUUUCGGGAGGGAAGAUGGGACGGGCAACCGUUCGGACGGCACCUCCAGAAGCAGCCACGGCUAACUUCGUGCCAGCCGCCGCGGUAAC
rnacentral:rRNA from 1 species